rnacentral:lncRNA from 1 species
CCCCUCCACUCUAUCUCUCUCAAUCUAGUAGAAACUAGAAGAUCUAUUUCUACCUUACAUUGAUUGCUAAGCCUAAAAAGAAAUAUUAAUUAGAGAAGAGGUUUUCCUUCGAGGGCACCCCUCAGUCUCUAUGAUAAUUUCUUCAUGUCUUGUCCAGGGGCCAGGGGGCCUUGCUUAUAUAGUCCUCCCCUUCUAUGCGUUUUUGGGU